rnacentral:rRNA from 1 species
GUGAGUAACGCGUAGGAAUUUACCUAGUAGUGGGGGACAACCUGGUGAAAACCAGGCUAAUACCGCAUACACCCUACGGGGAAAAGUGGGGGAUCUUCGGACCUCACGCUAUUAGAUGAGCCUGCGUCAGAUUAGCUAGUUGGUAGGGUAAAGGCCUACCAAGGCAACGAUCUGUAGCUGGUCUGAGAGGACGACCAGCCACACUGGGACUGAGACACGGCCCAGACUCC